GCGGGGAUGGGCAAACUGGAAAAGCCGCCACGCUGAGUGCGUGGAGAAUUUGUGGGUUCGACCCCCACUCCCCGCACCA
rnacentral:tRNA from 1 species